CCGUGCGAGCACGAUAUUGGUUUUUCCUCGAGAGACUUCAUGGAUUGCAAACGAGCGAAGCAUGGCAGUUGCUCAGUGUUUGGAUGUACAAAUGAACACCAAAGUCUUUUUUUAGUUCCUUCAUCUAAGCCUCUGAAGAACCAAGCUGGACUUGCUGAACGUCUGAAAAUAAAGUCUGGAUCAGUACCAACUCUCCUUGGCUCAGCUACAAACCUCGGACAAAUCAGAGAGUGAUACGU